rnacentral:rRNA from 1 species
UAAUACGUAGGUGACAAGCGUUGUCCGGAUUUACUGGGCGUAAAGAGCGCGCAGGCGGUCGUUCAAGUCGAGUGUGAAAGCCCCCGGCUCAACUGGGGAGGGUCACUCGAUACUGAUCGACUCGAAGGCAGGAGAGGGAAGUGGAAUUCCCGGUGUAGUGGUGAAAUGCGUAGAUAUCGGGAGGAACACCAGUGGCGAAGGCGACUUCCUGGCCUGUUCUUGACGCUGAGGCGCGAAAGCUAGGGGAGCAAACGGGAUUAGAUACCCCGGUAGUCCUAGCCGUAAACGAUGAGCACUAGGUCGUGGGCCUCCACAGGCCCUCGGCCGUAGCGAAAGUGUUAAGUGCUCCGCCUGGGGAGUAUGGUCGCAAGGCUG